rnacentral:rRNA from 1 species
UACGAAGGGGGCUAGCGUUGCUCGGAAUCACUGGGCGUAAAGGGUGCGUAGGCGGGGCUUUAAGUCAGGGGUGAAAUCCUGGAGCUCAACUCCAGAACUGCCUUUGAUACUGAAGAUCUUGAGUUCGGGAGAGGUGAGUGGAACUGCGAGUGUAGAGGUGAAAUUCGUAGAUAUUCGCAAGAACACCAGUGGCGAAGGCGGCUCACUGGCUCGGUACUGACGCUGAGGUGCGAAAGCGUGGGGAGCAAACAGG